ensembl:lncRNA
CUUACAGCCCUCUCCUGUCCUCACAGAUUUAAAUGUGGCACAGUCAGUAAUGAGUUUAAGCCACAAGCCUCAUUGAUCACUCAGUCGUUUGAGUGGAAGGUCCAACCAAAGUUCAGCAGACGCAGGUCGAUAGGGAACAGUAGUUUUGCUGUGUGUACUCAUCGCCCACAGGAUGGAGGUAACCAGGCCAUCUCUUGAUAAUAAAUGUCAGUGAAGCAGCUCCCACCCCAGCCAUACAAAACAUGACAUCGGGGGGGGAAGAGACAGAAAGAAAGAGACAGAGCAUGGACCCGGCGCUCACGUUUGAAAGGGCACAGAGCAUUUCACCUUGAAAAAAACAGCAGGACUGGAACGGUUACUUCAGAAGAGCACCACUCUGGAAGUCCCUAUUGAAGAUUUAAAGCCAUAUUCUCUGUGGCUUCUCAGUUUCCUCCAUCAUGUCAGAGACUCGACCAAUGCCUGUACAAACUGAGGUGCCUUCAGAGUCUCCAGAGGUGGAGUGUCCAGUUUGCUAUCAGGAGUACGACCAGAGCUCCAAACUCCCACGCAUGCUAGAAUGCCUUCACGUCUUCUGUACAGAAUGUCUCCGUAAGAUCCAGCUCACUCCUUUGCACCCCCCAGACCCCAACAGCGCCCCCUCAAUCUCCUGCCCCCUGUGCCGCCACUCCACCCCGCUACAGAGUGGCGAUGCAUACUCUCUCCCCUGCAACUCACGGAUUCUUGCCCAGUUGCCUCCCGUAGCCUUCCGUCUGCCUGCGUCGGUGUCUGCCCGGCUGGCCACGGUGACCCAGCGCUUGGUGCUAUCUCUGGGGGAGAGGGAUACCCGAUUCAUAAUCCUGCCCACUGUUAGUCUGAGGGUGGAGCAGAUGGGAGAAGGCACAGAAAUGGUAAACCCACCUAGGGUGCUGCAUCGAGAGAUUGAGGUUCUGAGGAGACACAAGAAGACCCUGAUGUGUGUUCAGGUUCUGGCUGUCAUCUUCUGGAUUAUGUUUGUGCUGACUUGUGUGAUUGGAGUUGUGUUUGGGCCAAACCUCUUUCAUAAUUGAAAGAUUAAGGACAUGGGUGUAUCUUGUUACAUUAAUAUAUUUAUUCUGUCCCUGCAUUUUUCAAAUGACAACAUUUAGAUCAUUAUAAAUAGAUCAUUUUGAUUACAUGUAAAACCUAC